rnacentral:rRNA from 1 species
UACGGGGAGUGCAAGCGUUGUUCGGAAUUACUGGGCGUAAAGGGCGUGUAGGCGGCCAACUAAGUCCGACGUGAAAUCCCCAGGCUUAACCUGGGAACUGCGUCGGAUACUGGAUGGCUUGAAUCCGGGAGAGGGAUGCGGAAUUCCAGGUGUAGCGGUGAAAUGCGUAGAUAUCUGGAGGAACACCGGUGGCGAAGGCGGCAUCCUGGACCGGCAUUGACGCUAAAGCGCGAAAGCCAGGGGAGCAAACGGG